rnacentral:rRNA from 1 species
UAGGGAAUCUUCCACAAUGGACGCAAGUCUGAUGGAGCAACGCCGCGUGAGUGAAGAAGGCUUUCGGGUCGUAAAACUCUGUUAUUGAAGAAGAACGUGCGUGACAGUAACUGGUCAUGCAGUGACGGUAUUCAAUCAGAAAGUCACGGCUAACUACGUGCCAGCAGCCGCGGUAAUACGUAGGUGGCAAGCGUUGUCCGGAUUUAUUGGGCGUAAAGCGAGUGCAGGCGGUCUUUUAAGUCUGAUGUGAAAGCCUUCGGCUAACCGAAGAAGGGCAUCGGAAACUGGGAGACUUGAGUGCAGAAGAGGAGAGUGGAACUCCAUGUGUAGCGGUGAAAUGCGUAGAUAUAUGGAAGAACACCAGUGGCGAAGGCGGCUCUCUGGUCUGUAACUGACGCUGAGGCUCGAAAGCGUG